rnacentral:rRNA from 1 species
AUGUAUCACUACCAUCCAAUUGAAAAAUUUGCUGAAUCCUUCUAUUCAUCAUAUCUCCCUCGACUUGUACAAGAUAAACUAUUUGUGCCAAACAAUAGAGUAGAGAGUGAGGAGGCGAAAACUAGUUCAGGUCUCUCCAAAUGGAAUAUUUUCAAGGCAUGCUUUUCAAGGGAAGUACUUCUUCUAAAAAGAAACUCCCCACUACAUAUAUUCACGACCAUACAGAUAACAGUCCUUGCUUUGGUGAUAUCAACCAUUUUUCUUCGAACAAGUAUGAACCAAAAAUCUAUUAUUAAUGCGAAUAAAUAUAUCGGAGCUCUCUUUUUGGUUGUUAUGAUAGUAAACUUCAAUGGCAUGGUUGAAAUUGCUGUGACAAUAAAGCGACUUCCCACUUUCUACAAGCAAAGAGACCUUCUAGCAUUGCCAGGAUGGGCAAUCCUUACUCCAAUUUUUCUUCUUAGUAUCCCAAUAUCUUUUGUACAGACAAGUCUUUGGACCGUCUUAACCUACUAUGUGAUUGGCUACGCACCUUCCUUUAUUAGAUUCAUGAAGCAUUUCUUGGUACUUUUUUCCAUGCAUCAAAUGUCAAUGGGCAUGUGUCAUUUAUUAGCGGCGGUAGCAAGGACACUAGUAAUGGCCAACGUGCUUGCCACCACAUCUCUUAUAGCAAUCUUCAUAUUUGGUGGCAUCGUCAUUUCAAAAGAUGAUCUCAAACAAUGGUUACAAUGGGGAUAUUGGGCAUCCCCAUUCACUUAUGCACAAAACGCAAUCUCCCUAAAUGAGUUCCUUGAUGAAAGAUGGGCCACAGAAUUUCCUUAUGAAAAUGCUAAUACCAUUGGCGACGCUAUCCUCAAGAUCAGGGGGUUGCUCAUAGAUUGGCACUGGUAUUGGAUUUGUGUCACUAUAUUAUUUGGAUUCUCGUUGGUGUUCAAUAUACUCAGUAUCUUUGCACUGGAGUUCAUGAAAUUGCCACACAAGCAUCAAGUUAACAACAAUGCUAUGAAGGUAAUGAAAGAGUGCACAAAUAGGAUAGUCGGAAUUGGCAAUGGGUCAAUUCCACAAGGUGUUCUCCCAUUUCAGCCUCUUACCUUUGUAUUUGAUCAUAUCAACUAUUUUGUCGAAAUGCCUAAGGAGAUGAUGAAGUAUGGAGUAACUGAUAAAAGGCUUCAGUUGCUACAAGAUGUUAGUGGUGCUUUCAGACCAGGGGUGCUAACAGCUUUGAUGGGAAUCACUGGUGCUGGAAAGACAACAUUACUCGACGUUUUGGCUGGAAGAAAAACUGAAGGAUAUAUUGAAGGUACUAUCACAAUAGAAGGAUAUGCAAAGAAGCAGGAGACAUUUUCAAGGAUCUCUGGCUACUGUGAACAAAGUGAUAUCCACUCACCUAAUCUCACUGUAUAUGAGUCACUGCAGUUUUCUGCAUGGCUCAGGUUGCCUUCAAAAGUUAAAUCUUGCCAAAGAGAUAUGUUUAUAGAUGAAGUCAUGGAUCUAGUUGAGUUAACAGGACUGAAGAAUACCAUGGUGGGUCUGGCAGGAGCAACUGGCCUGUCAGCUGAGCAACGAAAAAGGCUAACAAUGGCUGUCGAGCUUGUUGCUAGCCCUUCCAUUAUAUUUAUGGAUGAGCCGACCACUGGCUUGGAUGCCCGUGUUGCGGCGAUUGUCAUGAGGGCAGUAAGAAAGACAGCAGAUACUGGACGAACCAUUGUUUGUACAAUUCAUCAGCCAAGCAUUAGGAUAUUUGAAUCUUUUGAUGAGCUUCUACUCAUGAAAAGAGGUGGUCAGAUCAUAUAUAGUGGUUCACUAGGUCGACUUUCUAGCAACAUGAUAAAAUAUUUUGAGGAUAUCCCCGGUGUUCCUAGAAUAAAAGAUGGACAAAACCCAGCAUCAUGGAUGUUGGAUGUCAGUUCACACACCACAGAAUACGAGAUUGGAGUGGACUAUGCUAAAAUUUACCAGAGCUCCUCCCUAUACAGGGAGAACAAACUUCUUAUUGAAGAGCUUGGAAAACCAACGCCAAACACAGAAGAUCUACAUUUCCCUCCAAGAUAUUGGCUAAACUUUAGGGCACAAUGCAUCGCUUGCCUAUGGAAACAAAGAUGUGCAUAUUGGAAAAAUCCAGAGCAUAAUGUUGUUCGAUUCCUAAACACGUUUGUUCUAUCAAUUAUGUUUGGAACUGUAUUUUGGCAAACUGGAUCAACCAUUAAACAACAACAAGAUAUAUUCAACAUACUAGGGCUCAUAUACGGAUCAGCAUUGUUUCUUGGCUUCAACAAUUGUUGUAUCUUACAACCGGUUGUGGCAACAGAGAGGAUUGUUCUCUACCGAGAAAAGGCAGCAGGCACAUACUCUACCUUGGCCUAUGCCAUAGCUCAGGUGGCGAUUGAAUUGCCUUACAUGCUUGUCCAAGUAUUCAUAUUCGCGACAAUCGUAUACACAAUGAUUGGAUUCCAGAUGACCGCCAAUAAGUUCUUUUGGUUUCUACUUUACAUGGUGCUAAGCUACAUGUACUACACACUCUUCGGGAUGAUGACUGUGGCGCUAACACCAAACAUUGAGAUAGCUUCUGGAUUGUCCUUCCUUAUCUUCAUCUUUUGGAACAUCUUCUCCGGCUUCAUGAUCGGAAGAGAGAUGAUCCCAGUCUGGUGGAGGUGGGUGUAUUGGGCAAACCCAGCAGCAUGGACGGUGUACGGACUCAUGUUCUCCCAGCUUGGUGACCGGAUAGAGCCAAUUCUUGUACCUGGGCAACCAAACCAAACAGUGCGGGAGUUCCUCGAAGGCUACCUUGGCCUCGAGGACCACUACUUCAACCUUGUCACGUACCUUCACGUGGUCAUCAUCGCCCUCUUCGCCUUUAUCUUCUUUAUCUCCCUAAAGUAUCUCAAUUUCCAACGGAGAUAG